rnacentral:rRNA from 1 species
GAACUUAAGCAUAUCAAUAAGCGGAGGAAAAGAAACCACAGGGAUUACCUCAGUAACGGCGAGUGAAGCGGUAACAGCUCAAAUUUGAAAUCUGGCUCUUUCAGGGUCCGAAUUGUAAUUUGUAGAAGAUGCUUCGAGUGUAGCUCCGGUCUAAGUUCCUUGGAACAGGACGUCAUAGAGGGUGAGAAUCCCGUAUGUGACUGGUGGCUUUCGCUCAUGUGAAGCUCUUUCGACGAGUCGAGUUGUUUGGGAAUGCAGCUCAAAAUGGGUGGUAUAUUUCAUCUAAAGCUAAAUAUUGGCCAGAGACCGAUAGCGCACAAGUAGAGUGAUCGAAAGAUGAAAAGCACUUUGGAAAGAGAGUUAAACAGUACGUGAAAUUGUUGAAAGGGAAGCGCUUGCAACCAGACUUGCAUGCUGUUAAUCAUCAGGAGUUCUCUCCUGUGCACUUGGCAGUGUUCAGGCCAGCAUCGAUUUUGGUGGUUGGAUAAAGACCUUAGGAAUGUGGCAUCUUUCGGGGUGUGUUAUAGCCCUUCGGUGCAAUGCAGCCAACUGGGAUCGAGGACCGCGCUUCGGCUAGGAUGCUGGCGUAAUGGUUGUAAGCCGACCCGUCUUGAAACACGGACCAAGGAGUCUAACAUCUAUGCGAGUGUUUGGGUGUUAAACCCAUACGCGGAAUGAAAGUGAACGGAGGUAAGAACCCUUAAGGGUGCAUUAUCGACCGAUCCUGAUGUCUUCGGAUGGAUUUGAGUAAGAGCAUAGCUGUUGGGACCCGAAAGAUGGUGAACUAUGCGUGAAUAGGGUGAAGCCAGAGGAAACUCUGGUGGAGGCUCGCAGCGGUUCUGACGUGCAAAUCGAUCGUCAAAUUUGCGCAUAGGGGCGAAAGACUAAUCGAACUAUUAAGAACACUACUAGGUAGUUAAGAGGACCCUGAGAGGGGUAUUCUAGUCUCGAUUCCGAGGCAACACUGUCAAAUUGUUCGGGGACGUCCUGUUAGAUGAUUUACUACCGCAGCUGAACCUCGAAAGAGCAGUGCGCACCAGGUUAAUGACCUUGGGGAUGGUAAUAACGUAAUCAUAGGGAUAAUCCGCAGCCAACUUCUAAGGCCCUUCCGGGGUUAUGAAGUAGGUCCACAGACUUGACGACAGUGGGCACUUUGGGUGCUUAAGAUAAAGUCGACCCCUCGAGAAAUCGAGCGUUAGGGAUAAUCCAUAAGCCUAACGGGGUAGUAUAUUCACUACCUGGACAAACGCUAGUAGCUGGUUCCUGCCGAAUUU